AUUGAACGCUGGCGGCAUGCCUUACACAUGCAAGUCGAACGGUAACAGGUCUUCGGAUGCUGACGAGUGGCGAACGGGUGAGUAAUGCAUCGGAACGUGCCCAGUAGUGGGGGAUAGCCCGGCGAAAGCCGGAUUAAUACCGCAUACGACCUGAGGGUGAAAGGGGGGAUCACAAGACCUCUCGCUAUUGGAGCGGCCGAUGUCAGAUCAGCUAGUUGGGGGGGUAAAGGCCUACCAAGGAAACGAUCUGUAGUUGGUCUGAGAGGACGACCAGCCACACUGGGACUGAGACACGGCCCAGACUCCUACGGGAGGCAGCAGUGGGGAAUUUUGGACAAUGGGCGCAAGCCUGAUCCAGCAAUGCCGCGUGCAGGAAGAAGGCCUUCGGGUUGUAAACUGCUUUUGUCAGGGAAGAAAUCUUCUGGGUUAAUACCUCGGGAGGAUGACGGUACCUGAAGAAUAAGCACCGGCUAACUACGUGCCAGCAGCCGCCGCCGUAA
rnacentral:rRNA from 1 species